CCCGUGGAGCUUUACUGUAGCCUGAUAUUGAAAUUCGGCACAGCUUGUACAGGAUAGGUAGGAGCCUUUGAAACGUGAGCGCUAGCUUACGUGGAGGCGCUGGUGGGAUACUACCCUAGCUGUGUUGGCUUUCUAACCCGCACCACUUAUCGUGGUGGGAGACAGUGUCAGGCGGGCAGUUUGACUGGGGCGGUCGCCUCCUAAAAGGUAACGGAGGCGCUCAAAGGUUCCCUCAGAAUGGUUGGAAAUCAUUCAUAGAGUGUAAAGGCAUAAGGGAGCUUGACUGCGAGACCUACAAGUCGAGCAGGGUCGAAAGACGGACUUAGUGAUCCGGUGGUUCC
rnacentral:rRNA from 1 species